CUUGGUAGACUACUUCAGCUCUGAUGAUUUUAAGAAAAUGAGUGAAAGAAACAAAAAUAACAAGGCAAAAUAAAAAGUGAAUCAUAUUUGCGGCAGAAAAACUUUUCAAGCAGUGUCUUAUGAAGCGAGGGACACAACCACUGGAAAAGAGCCGAAUUUUCAAAAACUUUGGGAAAUAACUCACAUGAAGCCAAAUGGGUAAUGAGUUACUAAUGCUUCUGCUGAAGUGAAUGAUAAAGUGAAAGAUGUUGUUGCUGAAAAAAUUCAAGAAAUUGAAGAGGGUACCGAUGUGGAUCCUAUUAUUAAUGCUGCAUUUCUGCAAAUAAUGGGAGAAAAAAUCAAAGUACAUUCUUGGUCAAGGAUCUGGAAUUAAGUUAGCAAGUAGAAUAUCUAGAAAUGAAAUUCAAGAA